GAUGAACGCUGGCGGCGUGCCUAAUACAUGCAAGUCGAGCGAACAGAUGAGGAGCUUGCUCCUCUGACGUUAGCGGCGGACGGGUGAGUAACACGUGGAUAACCUACCUAUAAGACUGGGAUAACUUCGGGAAACCGGAGCUAAUACCGGAUAAUAUAUUGAACCGCAUGGUUCAAUAGUGAAAGACGGUUUUGCUGUCACUUAUAGAUGGAUCCGCGCCGCAUUAGCUCGUUGGUAAGGUAACGGCUUACCAAGGCAACGAUUCGUAGCCGACCUGAGCGGGGGAUAGGCCACAUGGGAAGGGAAACACGGUCCAGAGGCCUAAGGGAGGCAGCAGUAGGGAACCGUCCGCAAUGGGGGAAAGCCUUACGGAGCAACGCCGCGUGAGUGAUGAAGGUCUUCGGAGCGUAAAACUCUGUUAUUAGGGAAGAACAAAUGUGUAAGUAACUAUGCACGUCUUGACGGUACCUAAUCAGAAAGCCACGGCUAACUACGUG
rnacentral:rRNA from 1 species